rnacentral:rRNA from 1 species
CACACUGGACUGAGACACGGUCCAGACUCCUACGGGAGGCAGCAGUGGGGAAUAUUGCACAAUGGGCGAAAGCCUGAUGCAGCCAUGCCGCGUGUAUGAAGAAGGCCUUCGGGUUGUAAAGUACUUUCAGUUGUGAGGAAGGGGGUAGCGUUAAUAGCGCUAUCUCUUGACGUUAGCAACAGAAGAAGCACCGGCUAACUCCGUGCCAGCAGCCGCGGUAAUACGGAGGGUGCGAGCGUUAAUCGGAAUUACUGGGCGUAAAGCGCAUGCAGGUGGUUCAUUAAGUCAGAUGUGAAAGCCCGGGGCUCAACCUCGGAACUGCAUUUGAAACUGGUGAACUAGAGUACUGUAGAGGGGGGUAGAAUUUCAGGUGUAGCGGUGAAAUGCGUAGAGAUCUGAAGGAAUACCAGUGGCGAAGGCGGCCCCCUGGACAGAUACUGACACUCAGAUGCGAAAGCGUGGGGAGCAAACAGGAUUAGAUACCCUGGUAGUCCACGCCGUAAACGAUGUCUACUUGGAGGUUGUGGCCUUGAGCCGUGGCUUUCGGAGCUAACGCGUUAAGUAGACCGCCUGGGGAGUACGGUCGCAAGAUUAAAACUCAAAUGAAUUGACGGGGGCCCGCACAAGCGGUGGAGCAUGUGGUUUAAUUCGAUGCAACGCGAAGAACCUUACCUACUCUUGACAUCCAGAGAAGCCAGCGGAGACGCAGGUGUGCCUUCGGGAGCUCUGAGACAGGUGCUGCAUGGCUGUCGUCAGCUCG